rnacentral:rRNA from 1 species
UACGUAGGGGGCGAGCGUUGUCCGGAUUCAUUGGGCGUAAAGCGCGCGUAGGCGGCCCCGCAAGUCGGCCGUGAAAUCUCCGGGCUCAACUCGGAGGGGUCGGGCGAGACUGCGAGGCUCGAGGUGGGCAGAGGGCAGUGGAAUUCCGGGUGUAGUGGUGGAAUGCGUAGAGAUCCGGAGGAACACCAGUGGCGAAGGCGGCUGCCUGGGCCUGGCCUGACGCUGAGGCGCGAAAGCGUGGGAGCAAUCGGA